UUAAGAAAUGCAGUGCAGUGGGCUGAAUACUAUAAUUCUAACAGGGGAAAACUGGCACUAAAAUCAGUGAGAAUUUUGUCUAUGUGAGGAUUAUAAGAUUGGUUAGUACUUAAAGAGUAACUUUUCUUCUUCCAUGAAGAUCCUCACUGAUGGGUUCCUAUGCUUUACCAGCUUCUCUUCUUUACCUCAGUCAGAUUACAGUGGAGGAUGGCAUGCUCUGAGUGCAGCUGCCAAUCUGUGGCCCAUGGCUGUGUCUCUUGUACUUAAACGUCAUGACCAUUGAGACAAGUGAACAUGUCAGAAAUCAGCCUUUGGAUGAGGAAGACUGGGUCCCAGCUGAAUCAAGCAGCACAGAGCAUCCUCCAGCUCCUGGAGCCACCAAGCCUCCAUCAUCCACUGCUCGGCCCUGCCAUGGUGAGGGGUCAGAAACCGGUUUCUCUCAAGGCCUCUUGCUGUGUCCCACAGCGCAAAAGGGACAGCCAGCUGAUCCACUGGGAUAUCUUGUAGCUGGAUGGAUAAUACGGAUAGGAUGGUGAUAGACAGAAAAAGAGCUGCUUAUCCAGGAGGCUUGCGUUCUUCUACCUGCCAUGUCGUCU
rnacentral:lncRNA from 1 species